rnacentral:rRNA from 1 species
CAAGUCGAACGCGAAAGCCCGCAAGGGUAAGUAGAGUGGCGCACGGGUGAGUAACACGUGGACAACCUGCCUUCGAGUGGGGAAUAACCUUCCGAAAGGAGGGCUAAUACCGCAUAACAUCUCGGAGCACAAGUUCUGGGGUUGAAAAGAGCAAUUUGCUCGAAGAGGGGUCCGCGCCUGAUUAGCUAGUUGGUGAGGUAAUGGCUCACCAAGGCUUCGAUCAGUAGCCGUCCUGAGAGGGAGCACGGCCACACUGGAACUGAGACACGGUCCAGACUCCUACGGGAGGCAGCAGUGGGGAAUUUUUGGCAAUGGGCGAAAGCCUGACCAAGCAACGCCGCGUGGGUGAUGAAGUAUCUUGGUACGUAAAACCCUUUCGGCAGGGACGAACCUAAUGACGGUACCUGCGGAAGAAGCCCCGGCUAACUCCGUGCCAGCAGCCGCGGUAAUACGGGGGGGGCAAGCGUUGUUCGGAAUUACUGGGCGUAAAGGGCGCGUAGGCGGUUGGAUAAGUCAGCUGUGAAAACCACGGGCUUAACUCGUGGCCUGCAGUUGAGACUGUCUGGCUUGAGUGUGGGAGAGGAGAGUGGAAUUCCUGGUGUAGCGGUGAAAUGCGUAGAUAUCAGGAGGAACACCGGUGGCGAAGGCGGCUCUCUGGACCACAACUGACGCUGAGGCGCGAAAGCUAGGGGAGCAAACAGGAUUAGAUACCCUGGUAGUCCUAGCUGUAAACGAUGGAUACUUGCUGUGGGGGGUGUUAAAUCCCCCUGUGGCGGAGCUAACGCAUUAAGUGUCCCGCCUGGGGAGUACGGUC